ACAAUUCCGCGCAUCUGCGCGGGUCAGUAUCUAGUUUUGUGGUUAUUUUGUGGUUAUAAACAUAACCGCUUGUAUUUGAACAAAAAAAAAACAUAACCGCUUGUCUUAUAUAUAAAAGAAAGAUAAUAACGAUAUGAUUAGGUUAAUAAGAAAAAGUCAAUAAAACAUGUAAGAUGGCAACUUUUAAUAUAUGUUAUUAUGAAUUUUUUUUUGUUUUUUUAAUGAAUUAAAAUUGUAUCUACCUAAAGAAAAAGCUUUAAAAAGUCUCAUCAUCAAAAUGAACAGAUGUGUAUCCCCCACCACCAGCCAAGCAAUGACCGCAAGACACACCAGGGCCGUGCCCAUGUGUAGGCAAAUGCCUCAGGCCUCCGAGAAGGGGCGGGUGUACUUGCAUUUCGUAUGGGUGAUAGUGUGCGUACCCUCACUUGAAAAUUAUAAAAGAGAAUUAUUUUUGUAAGUUUUGGGUUUAAAUUCAUGUAUUGUCCCCAGUUCCGUUUUGCCUCCAUAUCUAAUGUUUUGCGUGGAUAAACUACUCUCUCUACUUUAUGUAUUUGAUGUUUAGAGUUAAUACAUACAAAUUAAUAAUAUGCAAUUUUUUUAUAAUUUAUCUUGAUGAUGUAAAAAUAUUAUAAAACCAUA
rnacentral:lncRNA from 1 species